rnacentral:lncRNA from 1 species
AGCAGCUGAAGGUCCCACGUGCUCCUCAAAAGAAAUUAACUCAUCUCCAGAUAAUCAUCAGAGUCCAACUAAGCGGCUAAUAGAACAGAACAGGACGUGAAAGCAAACAGCCCUUCAAACCCACAGGCCUGUACAUCAAAGGAGUGGUCAACGCCUGAGCACCGUCAGCAGAGCAGCUGCUUUGCCUCUGGGAACAUGCGGGAGAUAGGAGGCUUCCUCCUUAACCCUACUGCAGAGGACUUCUCCUCUUUUACCAGCAGCCUCCUGCAGUACCCUCCCGGGUAAUGGAGCAGGGGUCGCUUCCCUUCCCAUGAGACCUUUGUUCAGGCACUCAAGUGGAAGGUUGAGCAAUAAGCCAACUUUCUUGCUCAGAGGCUCCGCAGACUUCCUGUGGUUGUUUGUUCCACUCUGUGGUCAGUCAAGCAAGCUCACCGCCUGAUUCUCUUAUUGUUGUACUAAGCACAAGCUAUUAUACUUAUGAUUCAUAAUCAUAUUAGUAAAGCACUAUUCUAAAGCA